GAGUGAACUUCAAAUACACCCCUGUCGUUUCACAUUCUUUUACCUUAGUCCAUAUAUUUAAAGUGUAUCAAUUUAAUUAUUCUGUGGUUUCAUUUUUCUCUUUUCGUCAGUCCCUCCGUUAAUUUUUCGUUGAUGCAUAUACAAAAAACUUCAAAUACCCGACCUACGGCUUACUGAAUAUUCACUUUAGUAUUCUUUAGUUUUAACUUUGUCACUGAUUUAAUGAAAAAAUUUAGUAGAGUAAGAUACGAAAGUGAUAUAUUUUAAACCGCAGAGUACUGAAGUGAGAAAGUGCGAAAUCACAUGAAUAGUAUUUGAAGUUUUCGUAUAAAAUUAUAAUAUUUUUAGAGGUAAAUAAGAUUUGUUUAUUUUUUAAAUAUUCAAAUUGAGAUCCACGUUGUUAACAAAAUUUUAAAA
rnacentral:lncRNA from 1 species